ACUAUUUUGGCAGAUAAGUGCAGCGGAUUUAGAAUCUGUGUAUAUAGAUUAGUGUUUAUAGAUAGUA
rnacentral:tRNA from 1 species